GAUGAACGCUAGCGAUAGGCUUAACACAUGCAAGUCGAGGGGCAGCAUGGUCUUAGCUUGCUAAGGCUGAUGGCGACCGGCGCACGGGUGCGUAACGCGUAUGCAACUUGCCUCACAGAGGGGGAUAACCCGUCGAAAGACGGACUAAUACCGCGUACACUCUAUGUUGGGCAUCCAAUGUAGAGGAAAUGAAAUUCGCUGUGAGAUAGGCAUGCGUCCCAUUAGCUAGUUGGUGAGGUAACGGCUCACCAAGGCGACGAUGGGUAGGGGAACUGAGAGGUGGAACCCCCACACUGGUACUGAGACACGGACCAGACUCCUACGGGAGGCAGCAGUGAGGAAGAUUGGUCAAUGGGCGAGAGCCUGAACCAGCCAAGUCGCGUGAAGGAUGACUGUCUUAUGGAUUGUAAACUUCUUUUAUACGGGAAUAACAAGAGUCACGUGUGGCUCCCUGCAUGUACCGUAUGAAUAAGCAUCGGCUAACUCCGUG
rnacentral:rRNA from 1 species